ACAUUUGUUUUGCAGGGGAGAAACCUCAUAUUUGUUUGGUUUGUGGAAAAGGUUUCAGUACUUCGAGCUCUCUAAAUACUCACAGACGGAUUCACUCAGGUGAAAAGCCCCAUGAAUGUCAAGUAUGCGG